UACGUAGGGUGCGAGCGUUAAUCGGAAUUACUGGGCGUAAAGGGUGCGCAGGCGGUUCUGCAAGUCAGGCGUGAAAGCCCCGGGCUUAACCUGGGAAUGGCGCUUGAAACUACAGGACUGGAGUAUGGCAGAGGGAGGUGGAAUUCCACGUGUAGCGGUGAAAUGCGUAGAGAUGUGGAGGAACACCGAUGGCGAAGGCGGCAUCCUGGACCGGCAUUGACGCUGAGGCGCGAAAGCUAGGGGAGCAAACGGG
rnacentral:rRNA from 1 species